rnacentral:rRNA from 1 species
CCUGGUGUCUCUAGCGGUUUGGACCCACUCUGACCCAUCCCGAACUCAGGUGUGAAACAGACCAGCGGCGAAGAUAGUCGGACGGUAGCGUCCCGCAAAAAUAGCUCGAUGCCAGGU